GGAGAAAGGAGAGGUACCCUGUUGUUAUUCAGUUAAGCUGACUUCCUGAGGACUCCAUUUCAGGUUUUCUUGGACAAAGAUAUUGGAGCUCAUUUUACAGAUAAGGAAACUGAGGCAAACAACUGGGCUAAGUGAUUUGCCCAGGGCCACCCAGAUAAGCAUGUGCAUACACUCUCAGCCUACUCCCACUGCAAGUCUUUACCUCACAAGGUGAUGAAUAAUAGAAAGGUUGUAACUGCAUAGAAGAAUCUUCCAUUUGGCUGGGGAGCUGGAGCUGCAGAGACAGAAACUGAUCUAUGUUUCUGACCCUACUUCUUGUUAGUUAUGUCUUUUUCACUUCAGAUGCUGAUCAUCUUCCAAAUGCUGAGCUAGCUCUGGCAAUGUAU
rnacentral:lncRNA from 1 species